ACCAUUUACAUAUUUUGCGUCACUUCCUCUCUCUGACCUCUUUGGCAACAGAGAGGUGCCUGGUGGAGCAUGCUGAGCAUUUUGGCAUCUUGGGUGGUGGCUACUAUUGUCUGGGUUUAGCGGUGAGUUUUCCUUGAUACCAUACUGGAGGAAGCUGAGUAGCCUAGUUCAGAUAUUUUCCUUCUAGGGCAGUGAGGAUAUGCAUGGGGAAAGAGCCAUUCUGCAGGAAAAUUUCUGACAAAUCCCAGAAACCACUAGAUCCUGAUGAGAAAGGCUUAUGAUACAGGAAUUAUCCAGUACUUUAUGUAGCCUACCUUCUCAAAUUGGAUAUGAGAAGAACCUGAAGAACCCAUCAAGUGCUUUGGAGUGAGCAGUUUUAUUCUGUUGAAAGGUACAUGAUCCAAGAUCAACAGAGAGUCAUCAGGACCAUCCCCCAUUGAGGCAAAGCCUCCACAGGGACUUGUCUCCAAAGCCUCUCUGUGCCGGAGGAACUGAGGUCAUCCUUGUGUUUAGUUGGUAAGGGGUGACCUGUCUCCAACUCUUGACCACCCCUUUCCUUAGGGAACCU
rnacentral:lncRNA from 1 species